AAGUCGUAACAAGGUUUCCGUAGGUGAACCUGCGGAAGGAUCAUUAGCGAAGCUCAGAAUGCGUGUUCGGUCUGAUGCUGCCCAGCAAUGGGAUGUGCUCGGUCGGAUGCGUGUCCCUUCUCUAUUCCACCCCUUUGUGAACCAAGUGUGCGAGCCGAAGAGAGAUCGGAGGCUCGCAUGCAACCCUUAACAUACCCCAAUGAAGUAUCAGAAUGUACCUUGCGUUAACUCGCACAAAUACAACUUUCAACAACGGAUCUCUUGGCUCUC
rnacentral:misc_RNA from 1 species